GACGUAGGGACCGAGCGUUGUCCGGAUUCAUUGGGCGUAAAGCGCGCGCAGGCGGCUUCGUAGGUCAGGUGUGAAAACCAGAGGCUCAACCUCUGGCCUGCACCUGAAACCACGUCGCUAGAGGCAGGUAGGGGAGAUCGGAAUUCCUGGUGUAGCGGUGAAAUGCGCAGAUAUCAGGAGGAACACCGGUGGCGAAGGCGGAUCUCUGGGCCUGUCCUGACGCUGAGGUGCGAAAGCUAGGGGAGCGAACAGG
rnacentral:rRNA from 1 species